UCUUGUGGAGAAUUGUCUCAUUGGUAAUCAUACCAUAUAUUCAUUUUUUUAUAUUUAUUAACAGAAUUGCAUUUUUCACAGAAAAUGUCUACAUCUCAUUAGAGAUCUGCCUGAAAGGGUGUAUGGAUACAAUAUGAUAUUCAACACCUUAUACUUUAUAAUAUAAUAAAACAAAUAUUCAAAAGUCUGUGGUUGCGAAAUAUAUAAAGAUUUUACAAUGG
rnacentral:lncRNA from 1 species